AAAGGUUUCAAUCAUGUCUUGCUUUAGGGAAGAAUUUAUCUUUUCAUGAUUGACACCAUCUGUAUGAAGGAAUCAAAGAGCCACGGAAUCCUCAUUGGUGAGGUACUUUCAUUUGAUAUGCUUCAACUAUAAGUCUUCAAAUGAAGAUCAUGGCGGAGGCUUAUUCAACUCUUCCACACCAUAAUUGGCUACAACGAUUUAACAACCAGUUGUAGUUAAGCGGAUUGUCACAUCUUGUAUCUGCAUAAAGUAGAUUUUGUUCGAAACUUUCAAAUUAGUGAAAUUGAACUUGUGAAAUCCCAUUCCUGGAUUUCACUGUUAUAAUCUAUGUAUUUGUAUUAUUGAGAUUUUAUAUUAUUUUUCGGGAAUUUAUAAUAAUUGAUUUGAAUUUAGGUUUUAAUUAAACUAGUUAUGAGGGUUGAAGUUUCGAAAUUAAUUAUUUAAAUUCCGUAGACCUUUCGAGGUCAUAAUUUAUAUUUUUGAAUAGAGCUCGAUCUCACAAACGCGUAGGCGAAAACCGUUCUUGAAAUGGAGUUAUAACCAAGAAAUUAGAGACGUUUUAGUUGUUGGGAAAUAAAUAAAUAAAUGUUUAGAAGCUGCCAAAUGGCAACAAGGGAGAGGGGAGAAAGGAGAGAGU
rnacentral:lncRNA from 1 species